AGGACGAACGCUGGCGGCGUGCUUAACACAUGCAAGUCGAGCGGUAAGGCCCUUUCGGGGGUACACGAGCGGCGAACGGGUGAGUAACACGUGAGUAAUCUGCCCUCCACUUGGGGAUAAGCUUCGGAAACGGGGUCUAAUACCUGAUACGACAACUACCUGCAUGGGUUGGUUGUGGAAAGUUUUUUCGGUGGGGGAUGUGCUCGCGGCCUAUCAGCUUGUUGGUGGGUAAUGGCCUACCAAGGCUUCGACGGGUAGCCGGCCUGAGAGGGUGACCGGCCACGACUGGGACUGAGACACGGCCCAGACUCCUACGGGAGCAGCAGUGGGGAAUAUUGGGACAAGUGGGCGGAAGCCUAGAUCCAGCAACGGCCGCGUGAGGGACUGGACCGGCCGUGGGUUCGUUAAACCUCGUUUCAGUACCGACGAAGCGCCCGUUGUCGGUGGUGACGGUAGUACGAGAAGAAGACGACCGGCCAACGUACGUAGCCAAGCAGGCCGACGGU
rnacentral:rRNA from 1 species